GGGGAUGUGGCUCAGUGGUAGAAUUCUUGCUUUGGAUGCACAAGGCCCUGGGUUAAAUCCCCAGCACCACCA
rnacentral:tRNA from 1 species